GGAUGUGAGGGCUAUCGGGCUGUGACAUCUCCCACCCCAUUGAUCCCCAGGGUUGAUUUGGCUGAUCUGGCUCACUUGUGUCCCCUUCCUCCCUCACAGCUCCAUGUGUGUGUGUCCCUCCUGCAUGCCUUCCUCAAAUAAGAGAUGAACCGGUCUUCCAUCAAAGGUAUAAUAGUAGCUACACUCCCCUGCUAGAACCUCCAAAAAAAGAGAUAUUAGAACCUGUCAAGUGAAAAGAGAAAACAUACAUAUAUACAUACACAUAUGAACUAGGCCCACAUGGUACAUUU
rnacentral:snRNA from 1 species